rnacentral:rRNA from 1 species
GAUGAACGCUGGCGGCGUGCCUAAUACAUGCAAGUCGAGCGAACAGAUGAGGAGCUUGCUCCUCUGACGUUAGCGGCGGACGGGUGAGUAACACGUGGAUAACCUACCUAUAAGACUGGGAUAACUUCGGGAAACCGGAGCUAAUACCGGAUAAUAUAUUGAACCGCAUGGUUCAAUAGUGAAAGACGGUUUUGCUGUCACUUAUAGAUGGAUCCGCGCCGCAUUAGCUAGUUGGUAAGGUAACGGCUUACCAAGGCAACGAUGCGUAGCCGACCUGAGAGGGUGAUCGGCCACACUGGAACUGAGACACGGUCCAGACUCCUACGGGAGGCAGCAGUAGGGAAUCUUCCGCAAUGGGCGAAAGCUUGACGGAGCAACGCCGCGUGAGUGAUGAAGGUCUUCGGAUCGUAAAACUCCGUUAUUAGGGAAGAACAAAUGUGUAAGUAACUAUGCACGUCUUGACGGUACCUAAUCAGAAAGCCACGGCUAACUACGUG